UAAUUGAAAAAGAAGGAUUUCGAAUCCUAAAAAGCUUAGGCUUCAGUUU
rnacentral:tRNA from 1 species